UCUGCUCCACUUGGGACGUGGAGGCACAGAGGAAGUGGCUGUUUUUAUGCUCAGCACUCAGAAUAGUGAGCACUAAGAAUGGUUUAUAGCCUAACAUA